CCGGCCGACUGCGCGAUGGGCUGCGGGAACUCCCGGGCAGAGGCCCUGCAGGAGCAGCCAAAGAUGUAUCAGAAGAAUCCAUAACAGAAGAUGAUAAGAGGAGAAACUAUGGAGGAGUAUAUGUUGGCCUACCAUCUGAGGCUGUCAAUAUGGUGUCCAGUCAAACAAAGAUGGUUCGGAAAAAUUAGAAGAAAAUAACAUCAUGACUCAAGAAUCAAGAGCAUGCUCAUCAAUUUGGAAGGAAUUGGGCUCCGUGGGACAUUGUACUGUGCACAGCCAUUUCCAAGGAAAUUCUAAACAGUCACCCUUCCCUCUUGCAUUUCCCCAAAUCUUAAGCGUAUACAUAAAACCCUGGGUACAUACUGUUGUGGUAAUAGAAGGGAAUUGGUUAAACAGAACACUUGAUGGAACUUUCUGUGGCCAUCUACGAAAGACAAGUUAACAAACUGUCAUGGAGGCUGCUGUUGCCUAGCCAGGGCUGCUGCAUUUUGACAUUUCCACCGUGGCCACUCAACACAUUUCAUGGAGGUCAUGUCUUUUCACUGAUGCUUUUUGAUAGUUUUUAUAUAACAAAAUCCUUAUUCUAUUUAUAACUUAAGAUGAUAAGGCACUAUAAAUGAACGACCUAAAAUAAUAUAUUUGUCUGUUAUCUUUCGCUAUUUCUACUUCACUUUAAUUUUUAGCUGUAAAAUUGGUAAAUGGAUUCUUACAACUCUUUCUGUGUUUUACUGUUGGUUUUCAAAUUUCAUUUAAAUGUCAGAAUUUCCUUUUUAGGAACAAUGUGUAUUUCAUUGCAAUAUUUAAAAAUAAACUCAAAUUUGCAUGCCAUAUGCACACACACACACACACAAAGUAA